CAAUGACAGUAAAAUUUUACUUACAGUCAUACGUGUACACAUUGUCUCAUUCAACUCUUGCAUCUCUUGGUAUUUUUUCCCAAACGUUUUGUAUGUCUGUGUAGCUUCUUUGCGGUUACUACAAUUCCAACGUCCCAACAUUUUCCUAACUUCUUCGAGGAGGUCGUAUAUUGGCAAUUCCUUUGCUGAAACUAGUGCGACAUUGAUGGACACAAUGAAACUGGUGAAAGUA
rnacentral:lncRNA from 1 species